rnacentral:lncRNA from 1 species
AGAAAAUAUAGCUCGAUAAAUAAGCAUUCAUAUAUAAUGAAAAUGAGAAUUGCAACGAUGUUAAAACAUUUACCCAAACUGAAAUAAAAGCAAAAUGAGACGUAUGAGCUCGAAUGAUUAUCUCCUAAUUUACCAUAUGGAAAUAGAAUUCGACUAAUACAGCGAAUAACCAAAAUAAUUAAUAUGUGUACUAUAAUCAACACAAUCAAAUUCUCACCGACAAAAAAAAAAGAAAAAAAAGAAAGAAACACCCUUGGUAAAUCAAAGAAAAUGGAGAAAUUAUGCGUGCAUAAAAUCACGAGCUAUUUUGUACGAUUUGAGAAAAUUUUGUAGGAUGUCAUUUCUUCUGAGCCAGCUUGGUUUGAUUGUAUUUGAGUUUGAUCCAAUGGACGCUGGUGGAGGCUCCUUCCUUGACCUUCUUCAUCCCUGCAGAAGCCACCUCCUUUGUUCUCUCAAAUUUCUCGCUAACUUUCCUUGACAGUUUUGGGGACGGACCACCAAGUCUCUUAGGCUGACGCGGACUCUUAGGGGCCUUAUUCUGAUUGGCCGCCGACCAGGGAUUCUCCGGCAAGUCAAUUGAUGUGGCCAUCGUCGUAUCUUUAUAACUUCUGACCUCAAGAAAAGUUUCAGAGAAGGUUUGAUUCUCCAGAGAAAAGGAGAGAAGAAGAUACAAGGACAGGGACGGCCUCACAAUAUUUAGCUUGGCUUUCGGUAUAGUGAAUUGCAACGGGUUGUUGUUUGCUUUAUAUAUUUUCCUUGUAUAUAAUAUAUGUGGAGUGGAGGCUGGAGGGCGAUAAAACAGAUGAUACUAAGUUUUUUAUGUUGGUGGCUUCGUGCAUGCAAUGACUUGCCAUAAAUAGUGCUUAGUUUCCUCCCAUUCUAUUCGCUGUUCUAGC